AUCGAACGCUGGCGGCAGGCCUAACACAUGCAAGUCGAGCGGAGCGGCGGACGGGUGAGUAAUUCCUAGGAAUCUGCCUGGUCGUCGGGGAUAACGUCAGGCAACGGGCGCUAAUACCGCAUACUUUCAGUUGAGCCUAUGGCGGAUUAGCCCGGUGGUGGGGUAAAGGCCUACCUAGCCGACGAUCCGUAACUGGUCUGAGAGGAUGAGCAGUCAAACUGGAACUGAGACACGGUCCAGACGCCUACGGGAGGCAGCAGUGGGGAAUAUGGGACAAUGGGCGAAAGCCUGAUCCAGUCAUGCCGCGGGUGUGAAGAAGGUCUUAGGUUUGUAAAGUACUUUAAGUUGGGAGGCGGUACCAACAGAAGAAGCACCGGCUAACUUCGUGCCAGCAGCCGCGGUAAUUC
rnacentral:rRNA from 1 species